UUCCCUCUCCCCUUUCUCCCAAGCCUAGGGUUCACCACCUCCAAACCCGCCGCCGCUCACCUCCGUCUCCACUCCCCCUACUGCCCUCUCCCGGAUCGCCUGCCCCUCCCUCGUGCAGCGCUACAGGGAUCGCCUCCACCGCUCGCUCCCGGACGGUUCGUCGCACGCUGCAGUGACGCUGAACAGGAUCCUAAGCCGUCGCGACUGCCGCACCUUGCAGCGGCGUUGAAGGAACCGUCGCCGCUCCUUAGGAAGUGGUCUCCGUCCAGAUCUUCGUUGUUGGAGGAGCGGUGGAAGAGGCACGGGUUCAUCUUGCGUUUGCCUGUGAGGCUGGCCAAGGUUUGCACGGUUGUUCCGUCGGAUGUGGGAUGUAUGGUGGAGGAAACAGAUGUGGGCCUGGUUGUGGUGGCCGUCGCCGCCACAUCCGCAUGGACCUUGACCAUCUACGACUAACUCCAGGUCUCCAGCAACAUAUAUGGCGCUCUAUGCUUUGACUAAUUCUGCAAAGAUUCGUUGUCUUCAGUUCCUCUAUUGCAAGUCCAGCUCUAAGUACUGAUUGAUGGAUUCUCGAAAAUGCAUUUCCAUUGCACUGCUGAAGAUACUAACUGACUGCAACUUGGCGUUGCAGGCUGCUCUUCACCUGCAUAUGUUAGAGAGGGCUGGUACUGGUACUUCCCCUGCUCCAAUUUUUUUCUGCUCAGCUCCAAUAUGUUCUCUGUGAUUCGGUUUGGUGUGUUGUUCCUGCUGAUAGAUUACAAGUUUACAACAAUAGAUGGGGCAGAGAUAUAUACUGUACUACCUUAAGGCUUAAAUCCAUGAACUGAAUUGAUUCAUCUGUGUUGCAUUGCGGGAGCAAAAAAAUUACAACAAUUAAGAAGUAGGUUAGCAACUAGCGCUGAAUUGGUUCCACUGUAAGACUUACCAUAUACUUGAGUUUUUAAUUUUAGAUGCAUGAUAGGAAAAAUUACCUUUUGUUCCCAAAAAAAUUCCAAUGUAAAACUUGUCAUUUUAAGGUGUAUUAAUCUCAUUAUAUGCUAUUACAGAUUGUUGGAGAAGGAAACUGUGUUAAAAAAACUAUAGCAAUCAUCUCUGACCCUCUGAAAGAAAGCUUACACCCUGAUCAUGGUCCCUUCUGCGGAUAGAAUUUACCAGAGCGUUGACUUUCUCAGGAUGAAUAGUUGGGUGUUGUUCAGCUGAUGCCUGCCUUUGAAGAACCUUAUAGACGAUUAAUUAUAAUUAGAAAUAAUGCCAGCAUGGAGCCAGCAGGAUAUGAGUUUGGUUUAAAUGGUAGCAAGUUCAAUGAACAUCCUGAGAUCCCGUUUGAUGAGAUUAUAUUUUGAAUUCUUUGCCCAAAUGACAAGACUAAUUAAUAGUGUUGGUGAUGCCUACAUAGAUCCAAUUUAGUAGGACCGCGUGACACAUUAGUCAUCACAUCUAGAGAGGUAAACCCACAUUUCUUAUGCCCCUUUACUUAAGUGCCCAACAUAAUGUUCUAAACGUUGCAUGUACUGAUUGUAUGUCUCAUCCUGGUUUGGAGGUGUUAGUAUCUGAACAAUUAAUACAGGUGUUACCUAAUCCCUUACCAUUACCACAUAAUGAACACUCUGUAAGACACCUGAAUUUCAUUGUCUGGGUUAGCCUGCUUUCAGCCAAAAUGACUAAAAGUAAAAUAACUAUUGUGGUCCAUCUUGUGUGCUAACUCUUUGGCUGAAAGAUUGUGAGACUGCUAAAACAAUGGUCUUACUAUUUGAAGAUCAUAUGUGGUAAUUUAUAUCAAAAAAUGAACUAGAGAUAGUUCCCGGUGCAUAAUAACGGUCUGAAUGAAUAAUCAAUCAGUGAACCAUGUCCAUCUGGGUUAUAUUCUCUUUUGGACUUGAAGCAGCCAGACGGGGGAUCGCCAGGGCUCAAUUUUAUAUCCCAAUUUUCGUUCCUAUAAAAUAACUUUUUCUUAGUUCAAAUAAUAUUCGAAUGCAUAUUUGAGCACUAGAAAAUAUGCUUUUAACAUUGGUUCGAGGAUUGGGUUACAAAAUGGAUGGAGAUUACAAAGAUUGAUUAUGUGUCUUACAGUUUGCCUCACUAUGUUGACAAGAUUAGCACAUUCCAAGUAUCGUUAAUAAUAUAAAUGGCAUCACUUACCUUGCAAGUAAACACUGAAGGUUCUAAGACAGCUAAUUAUUUUACAGCUAUAACGCUGUUGUUUCUGGCUUUUGCCUUACUGUUCACUCUUCUAUGGUCAUGCAUGUGCCAUUGGUAUAAUGACCAGGUUUCUACCUAUUGUCACCAAUGUUGUUAAAGGUUCUCCAUCACUGAAGUGAACUUUAUAGCUCACUGAGACAAGUUUCAGACUGCUUUACUCUAUGGUCAACAUGUCCUUCAAACUUGGUGUCUAUGGUGACAUUUUUGAUUAUGCAAUGUCGUUCAUCGUUGCAUAAUUUCUCCUUUUGUAUCAUUGUAGGGAGAAAAUUGUAAUAGAUCUUUGGAGCGAGAAUACCAAAACCCUCAACGACGGUAGACUUAUAGAAGUUAGUGCGAAAGAGGGUAUAGUUCCCUGGUUGUAGGAUACACCAGGCUGCACAUGCACAAAACAGGAAUGUGUUUUGUUUCAUUGGUGCUAUUACUGAAUUUGUAUUCUGUCACCUGAUGUGAACUGGUCUUUUCUCUCGCCUUUUUAUUACCUUUGGUGCCGAUUCUGGAUGCGCUUCAAUGUACAAUAGCAUAGCUUAUGCUUUCAGUAAAAUGUAAAUUGGUUGCUAUAAAUGGGGUCGGUACAGAGUUUCUGAUGCCGUUUUACAUAUGGUUGUUUUUGCUCUCCUCUGUAUCAGCAGGUUAAUUUGGUAUGAAAGUAUGUAGAUCGAAUGAUGAUGACUAUGUAUUGGCACUUUUAGUGCUCUUGGACCAAAGACAUUUCUUUAAUCUGAGAAGUAGGUUGUUCCUCUGUUUUUUUAGCUGAAUCAAAUUUAAUCAUUCAGACGUA